GACGAACGCUGGCGGCGUGCUUAACACAUGCAAGUCGAACGGAAAGGCCCUGCUUGCAGGGUGCUCGAGUGGCGAACGGGUGAGUAACACGUGGGUGAUCUGCCCCUUACUUUGGGAUAAGCCUGGGAAACUGGGUCUAAUACUGGAUAGGACCAUGCUGUAGGUGGUGUGGUGGAAAGAUUAGUUUCGGUAAGGGAUGAGCUCGCGGCCUAUCAGCUUGUUGGUGGGGUAAUGGCCUACCAAGGCGUCGACGGGUAGCCGGCCUGAGAGGGUGGACGGCCACAUUGGGACUGAGAUACGGCCCAGACUCCUACGGGAGGCAGCAGUGGGGAAGAUUGCACAAUGGGCGCAAGCCUGAUGCAGCGACGCCGCGUGGGGGAUGACGGCCUUCGGGUUGUAAACUCCUUUCAGCCAUGACGAAGCCCUUGUGGUGACGGUAGUGGGAGAAGAAGCACCGGCUAACUACGUG
rnacentral:rRNA from 1 species